GAUAAGAUAAGCUAAACAUACCAAGCUAUUGGGCUCAUGCCCCAAAAAUGAAUUUAUUUUUCUCCUAUCA
rnacentral:tRNA from 1 species